rnacentral:rRNA from 1 species
GACGAACGCUGGCGGCGUGCUCAACACAUGCAAGUCGAACGAUGAAGCCGGAGCUUGCUCCGGUGGAUUAGUGGCGAACGGGUGAGUAACACGUGAGCAAUCUGCCCUUGACUCUGGGAUAACUGCGGGAAACUGUAGCUAAUACCGGAUACGACACCUUGGGGCAUCCCAGGGUGUGGAAAGAAUUUCGGUCAAGGAUGAGCUCGAGGCCUAUCAGGUGGUUGGUGAGGUAAUGGCUUACCAAGGCGACGACGGGUAGCCGGCCUGAGAGGGUGACCGGCCACACUGGAACUGAGACACGGUCCAGACUCCUACGGGAGGCAGCAGUGGGGAAUAUUGCACAAUGGGCGAAAGCCUGAUGCAGCAACGCCGCGUGAGGGAUGAAGGCCUUCGGGUUGUAAACCUCUUUUAGCAGGGAAGAAGCGAAAGUGACGGUACCUGCAGAAAAAGCACCGGCUAACUACGUGCCAGCCGCCGCCGUAA